AAUGAACGUUGGCGGCAUGGAUUAGGCAUGCAAGUCGGGGGAAUCCCAGCAAUGGGGGAACCGGCGUAAGGGGCAGUAAGGCAUGGGUACCUACCUUGGGGUUCGGGAUAGCCAUCAGAGAUGGUGGGUAAUACCGGAUGACGUCGUGAGACCAAAGAUUCAUCGCCCUUAGAGGGGCCCAUGUGAUAUUAGCUAGUUGGUGGGGUAACGGCCCACCAAGGCGAAGAUGUCUAGCGGGUGUGAGAGCACGACCCGCGCCACUCGCACUGAGACACUGGCGAGACACCUACGGGUGGCUGCAGUCGAGGAUCUUCGGCAAGGAGCGCAAGCUUGACCGAGCGAUGCGGCGUGAGCGAUGAAGGCCUUCGGGUUGUAAAGCUCUUUAGUGGGGGAGAAAAGCCGCAAGGUGUGAUCUAUCCCAAAAAUAAGCACGGGCUAAGUUCGUGCCAGCAGCCGCCGUAA
rnacentral:rRNA from 1 species